AGAGUUUGAUCAUGGCUCAGAUGAACGCUGGCGGCAGGCUUACACAUGCAAGUCGAGCGGAUGAAAGUAGCUUGCUACUGGAUUCAGCGGCGGACGGGUGAGUAAUGCUUAGGAAUCUGCCUAUUAGUGGGGGACAACAUCUCGAAAGGGAUGCUAAUACCGCAUACGUCCUACGGGAGAAAGCAGGGGAUCUUCGGACCUUGCGCUAAUAGAUGAGCCUAAGUCGGAUUAGCUAGUUGGUGGGGUAAAGGCCUACCAAGGCGACGAUCUGUAGCGGGUCUGAGAGGAUGAUCCGCCACACCGGGACUGAGACACGGCCCAGACUCCUACGGGAGGCAGCAGUGGGGAAUAUUGGACAAUGGGGGGAACCCUGAUCCAGCCAUGCCGCGUGUGUGAAGAAGGCCUUUUGGUUGUAAAGCACUUUAAGCGAGGAGGAGGCUACCGAGAUUAAUACUCUUGGAUAGUGGACGUUACUCGCAGAAUAAGCACCGGCUAACUCUGUGCCAGCAGCCGCGGUAAUACAGAGGGUGCAAGCGUUAAUCGGAUUUACUGGGCGUAAAGCGCGCGUAGGUGGCCAAUUAAGUCAAAUGUGAAAUCCCCGAGCUUAACUUGGGAAUUGCAUUCGAUACUGGUUGGCUAGAGUAUGGGAGAGGAUGGUAGAAUUCCAGGUGUAGCGGUGAAAUGCGUAGAGAUCUGGAGGAAUACCGAUGGCGAAGGCAGCCAUCUGGCCUAAUACUGACACUGAGGUGCGAAAGCAUGGGGAGCAAACAGGAUUAGAUACCCUGGUAGUCCAUGCCGUAAACGAUGUCUACUAGCCGUUGGGGCCUUUGAGGCUUUAGUGGCGCAGCUAACGCGAUAAGUAGACCGCCUGGGGAGUACGGUCGCAAGACUAAAACUCAAAGGAAUUGACGG
rnacentral:rRNA from 1 species